UGGGGAAUUUUGGACAAUGGGCGCAAGCCUGAUCCAGCAAUGCCGCGUGCAGGAUGAAGGCCUUCGGGUUGUAAACUACUUUUGUACGGAACGAAAAGGCUCUGGUUAAUACCUGGGGCUCAUGACGGUACCGUAAGAAUAAGCACCGGCUAACUACGUGCCAGCAGCCGCGGUAAUACGUAGGGUGCAAGCGUUAAUCAGAAUUACUGGGCGUAAAGCGUGCGCAGGCGGUUAUGUAAGACAGGUGUGAAAUCCCCGGGCUCAACCUGGGACCUGCAUUUGUGACUGCAUAGCUAGAGUACGGCAGAGGGGGAUGGAAUUCCGCGUGUAGCAGUGAAAUGCGUAGAUAUGCGGAGGAACACCGAUGGCGAAGGCAAUCCCCUGGGCCUGUACUGACGCUCAUGCACGAAAGCGUGGGGAGCAAACA
rnacentral:rRNA from 1 species